rnacentral:lncRNA from 12 species
GGGGCAGCCACAGCUUCUCUGGGCAACAAAAUUAAUCUAAACCUUUUACCUGCAGCCACACACUGAUCAGAGGCAGAAGCAGCUGCAGGGAAGAGAUCACAACGCACCUGAGAUGAACUUUGCACUGCUGAAAUUCAGGACAGAUUCAGCAUUAUGAGACUCACUUCACCCUUGUGUCAGGACACCAGCAUUUGCAUUAAACCCAUAAAUAACAAAAAGAUUCCUGAGUCGCAGUCGCUGCCAGAGGAGGGUGCACAGUGAGUUAACAGCCACGGACCCUGAGCUCCUCUUGCCUCAAGUCAUUUACCCAGAGCACCAGUGACGUUAUCCUGUUCAGCCCAUAUUUACUACAGCUACAAACUGAUUCAGAGAAACCUGGAGUACAGGAUUAAUCAUUACUCUUGGGAUGUUGAAAAUGGAUACCAGAACGGACUUCCAAAUUAGGACUGAACAAGCCCUACGAGCUAGAGCCAGCUCUGAAAUCCCAGAACUUUCUUUCCACAGAAGAUCCAAGAACUUUGUUGAAUUGCAAGUUGUGCAAUCUACUUCCAGUUUCCUGCUCUACUCAGCACUUAGAGUUUUCUUGCGCAGAUGCUACAGGGCAAUAAAUCUUCUGAAGAAUGGCUCUACAUUUCUCCCAC